GUAUUACCUCCAUAGAGAGGGCCCGAACCUGGGUAAGCAUUGUGUCCCCUGUCUCAUGUUACCAUCGACCUUAGACGCACAGUUCGGGACCCCCUACCUGAGAUCCGUCGGUUUUGAUACCGACAGGCACCGCGUAUUGAAACCACUACCUUGGCAAUGAAAGGUGCCACCAUGGAGCCAAAAAUGCUGCCACAUCAAUUAUUUAUAUCCAAUAUAUAGUACAGAAAACAAGUACUCUCUUGAAAGCAUAUACGUAAAAUAAAUUAAGCACAAGCUCCAACGAUUAUGCCAUACCUAUGCUUGAGGAAUAACAGCUUGGAAGAAAAAUACGAGUCGGUGCUUGAGGAACGACAAUGUGAAAAAACCCCAGAGGGCAACAAACACCCUAGCAUGUAUUGCCAUCAGAGGAAAAUGCUUGAAGAACACACACCCGGACGCUGAUGUAUUUCCAUCCUAGCAUGUUCAAAGGAGCUACAAGCUACCAUAACGAGCAUAAGGUGAGAGAAAGAGGGCAUCAAUGGCAAUAUGAGAUAUGGAAAGAGGGAUCUUACCUCCUACACCUCAAGCUCACCCGCAAGCCAUCCUCCACUACAUACACACACCGCCAUC
rnacentral:lncRNA from 1 species